GAAGAAAGCGGGCGGCGUGCUUAACACAUGCAAGUCGAACGGAAAGGCCCUGCUUUUGUGGGGUGCUCGAGUGGCGAACGGGUGAGUAACACGUGAGUAACCUGCCCUUGACUUUGGGAUAACUUCAGGAAACUGGGGCUAAUACCGGAUAGGAGCUCCUGCUGCAUGGUGGGGGUUGGAAAGUUUCGGCGGUUGGGGAUGGACUCGCGGCUUAUCAGCUUGUUGGUGGGGUAGUGGCUUACCAAGGCUUUGACGGGUAGCCGGCCUGAGAGGGUGACCGGCCACAUUGGGACUGAGAUACGGCCCAGACUCCUACGGGAGGCAGCAGUGGGGAAUAUUGCACAAUGGGCGGAAGCCUGAUGCAGCAACGCCGCGUGCGGGAUGACGGCCUUCGGGUUGUAAACCGCUUUCGCCUGUGACGAGGCGUGAGUGACGGUAAUGGGUAAAGAAGCACCGGCUAACUACGUG
rnacentral:rRNA from 1 species